rnacentral:tRNA from 1 species
GGGGCUGUAGCCCAAUAGGCAGAGGCACGUGAUUUAGGUUCACGCCAGUGGGGGUUCGAGUCCCCCCAGCCCCA